CGUGUACUUGGUUGUUCUGUUGAAUUUCCGUCUAUUCUCUCUUUCUCUCUCUUUUCUCCCUUCGCAUAUGCCAAAAACAAUAUAAAUACAAUAGUUAAAUAGGAGUAAGGCUAUGUCGUGUAGGCAAAUAUUUUAACCCUUCAUUUUACAGUUUAAGCCUUUGGCUGGUCUCUUGUACUCUGAGGAGAACCUGUCUUGAAUGCUUGCCCUUAUAGCAUACUGUAAGAAAAUAUAGACUAAUUGAUUGGCAUGAAAAGGGGUGAGCUACAACAAGACUUGAACCGUAACUAAACAUGAAUUGUUAGUCAGUGUUGGUUGGAUGGGAGCUACUUGGUAUUAACUUUGUUGCGGCUGCUGUACAAGGAGCUCUGCACUGGGAUUUUUGCUUGCUCAGAAGCACUUUUCAAACCCACUCGUAGCUGUUCCUUCUGCCGUGAGUGUUGUUUGCAUGGCGCUUGGGGGCAGUGCUCUUGCUGUGUUUUGGAGGAACAGGCCAAUUCCCCUUGAUGAUAAGGAUGACUUCGAGGAAUAAUAAUUUCUUGUUCAUCCUAAUUAUUAUUUCUGUGUCUUGUGUUAUCUUUUAGAGCGGAGGGGAAGUUUCCAUCAUUUUGAAUUCAGGAGUCGUACUCUGUGACAAAGCUUAGAAUUGAGGAUCCAUGAAACGGGGUGAGUCGCAAUUAUGGAUAUUAUUAAUAUUCUAUCUGGGAUUAAGGUCCCACGUAGUUCUCCCAAUUAUGAUUUUCAUUCUUAGGAUCUGAGAAAUUUUGAUUGGAGGAUUAUGUUUGACCCAUUCUCCAAUAAUGGUUGUGCUGUAGCUGGGAAGGGGACCCUCUCUCAAGUUACCAAUAUACAAUUUUCCCCCUUAUUCAUUAUUUGGGUAUGUCGAAUCGGUUUGUAAGUUAGAUUGAUAUUAAUUUUUCCUAGAUGAUCUUAAAAGACA